GGGGGAAUAUUGCACAAUGGGCGCAAGCCUGAUGCAGCCAUGCCGCGUGUAUGAAGAAGGCCUUCGGGUUGUAAAGUACUUUCAGUCGGGAGGAAGGUGGUAAGGUUAAUAACCUUAUCAAUUGACGUUACCGACAGAAGAAGCACCGGCUAACUCCGUGCCAGCAGCCGCGGUAAUACGGAGGGUGCAAGCGUUAAUCGGAAUUACUGGGCGUAAAGCGCACGCUGGCGGUUGAUUGAGUCAGAUGUGAAAUCCCCGGGCUUAACCCGGGAAUUGCAUCUGAUACUGGUCAGCUAGAGUCUUGUAGAGGGGGGUAGAAUUACAUGUGUAGCGGUGAAAUGCGUAGAGAUGUGGGGGAAUACCGGUGGCGAAGGCGGCCCCCUGGACAAAGGCUGACGCUCAGGUGCGAAAGCGUGGGGAGCAAACAGG
rnacentral:rRNA from 1 species